GAAGUAAGAAGAGAGUGUCUCUCCACUUCCACUCCAGCCCCCUACAGCUCAUCCUCCAGCAGGCAGCCAAGGGCACUUUUAGGAUCUCACAUCAGGUCCUUGCCUCACAUUCUGCACUGGCUUCCCAAGUAAUUAAAGUAAAAUCCAAAUUCCAGCUCACAGCUUAGAAAACUCAGCAGGACUGGCCUCUGUCCUAUCCCACACCCCACCUCAGUCCCUCAAGCUCAUCUCCUGUCAUUCCUGCCCAUUUCUGGACCCCAGCCACUCCUCAAACAGGGUGAGGAUGCAGUGUCCAAGGCACCAUCUUGAACUCAUCAUCGCCAAAUAUGUGAGCACCUUGAUGUUGGACUUCCCAACCUCCAGACCCUGACAGGACUUCCACACCCAUGCUCCUCUCGGCACCUUUCACCCAGCCCAAGCAGCGGCGGCCCAGUGGUGGAAAAGGUGCCACGGCCAAACGGAUUGGAGACUCACCCCGCAUUCUAGGCCGGAGAAGCGGGCGGGCUUGGGAUGCCGGCAGGAGGCAAUGACUCUCCCCAGGCGCUGCAUCCUGGCUCCGGGGCACAAGCGCCUCUCCGCCCUGACGCUGAUGCUCGUCUGGCUGCCCGUUCUUUGGCAUCAAAAUACCAGACGAUGGUGGCGCACCCUGUGGCCUGGGCUGCCUCACCUCAUUCGGUCCCGCCUAGAAAGACCAGAGGACCAGAAAACCAGAAGCCUGUCAGAGCGACUAGAGGCUGGCUCCAGCCAACAGCCGCGCGCCUCAGCGUCCACGAGGGUUACCUGGGUAACGCGCCGCUUGGGCUCGGCGCCCAGCCGAUGACGUAACCCGCGCUUGCGUAGUGGCGCCGCCCUGAUGUGUAGUCUCCAGGCCGCCCCGAACACCAGCCCAGC
rnacentral:lncRNA from 1 species